rnacentral:rRNA from 1 species
AUUGAACGCUGGCGGCAUGCCUUACACAUGCAAGUCGAACGGUAACAGGUCUUCGGAUGCUGACGAGUGGCGAACGGGUGAGUAAUACAUCGGAACGUGCCCGAUCGUGGGGGAUAACGAAGCGAAAGCUUUGCUAAUACCGCAUAGGAUCUACGGAUGAAAGCCGGGGACCGCAAGGCCUUGCGCGAACGGAGCGGCCGAUGGCAGAUUAGGUAGUUGGUGGGAUAAAAGCUUACCAAGCCGACGAUCUGUAGCUGGUCUGAGAGGACGACCAGCCACACUGGGACUGAGACACGGCCCAGACUCCUACGGGAGGCAGCAGUGGGGAAUUUUGGACAAUGGGCGAAAGCCUGAUCCAGCCAUGCCGCGUGCAGGAUGAAGGCCUUCGGGUUGUAAAAUGCUUUUGUACGGAACGAAAAGACUCUGGUUAAUACCUGGGGUUCAUGACGGUACCGGAAGAAUAAGCACCGGCUAACUACGUG